GGUUUCAUGGUCUAGUGGUAUGACGUGUCUUUCACAUUCCUGCAACAUUGACAAGUGCAGUGUGGACAGACAAGGUCCCGGGUUCGAGCCCCGGUGAGACCU